AUGCUUAUGAGUAAGUUGGUAACGUCUAUUCUCAUUUCAGAGAUGUCAAGGACCUACAAUGCCAAAUUGGCCGCGGCACAACAACAGGCUGAAAGCCGAGUCAGGGAUCAUCGACAGACACGGUUUUCAGAUGUGCCUGUGUUUCCGCCUUUGCCUACAUAUCCGAGACGGAGUGAAUUGAAGAAGCUGCGUUUUCUCAGACAUUUGAGAUACGCUCAGCUGCAAUCUAUGGGUGUAAAUGGCUUUGCCUUCGGCAGACCUGGUGUACCAGUUACCUCACCAUAUGCUGCUAAGCACACUUAUCAUAUUGUGCAGCUACAAAAAGUUAAAGAUGGUCCUAUUGUCCAGUUUGCUUGCCGUGAAGCUGAUGGUUAUACCGGUGGAUGGAGAGUCCUCAUGACUAAAAAUGAUUCAGAAACAGAACCGUGGUUUGAAUGCAAAGGUUUUCACCUUCCAAGGGAUAUCUUCGUCAAUGUUGUGAAGACAGAGUACAGCUACAGCUAUCAAAACAUCAAUUCAAUUGGAUUAUCCAAGGCAAUCUUAUCUGUGAUAUUUGACUUCUUCGUAUCUACUCGCGGUGUGAACCCACUGAUCAUAACUGCUGAGGGAACAGCUUGCCUGGAUGCUGUCUUUUUCAUUCUUGGUGAAGGGCAACGGUUUCUGCAUUUUCUAAAGCUCACAGGGCGUGGCCUCAGGAGCAUUAAACCUGUCUUUCCCAGUCAAGACGAGGCAACGGUGGUAACACUCUGGCGUCAAGUUUGUGAGGCAAUAUUAGCAAUGUGCCUGGCAUUAGUUGAGAUGCACAAGGGGCUUGGGACUGAACCUAGGGAUAUCCGGCGCUUUGGAUACACUUACAGGACAGCUCGUGGUAAACUGGUGCAACUAAACCAGAAAUGCAACGGAUUGCUUCGUUUCAUUGGUCCGAACACAGAAAUCAACCUUGAAUAUCUUUGCGGAGGCGACAUGUUGCUUCUUAAGCACCGUCCAGAAUAUGUUAACAAGAUUCUCAUGAGAUUGGAUGGUUUCACAGGAGUUUUUUCUGGUACGAAGGCGCAAGGUGCGGAGGGGGAAACUUCUGGUGAGCAAGGUGCAGAGGGGGAAGCCUCUGGUGACUCAGAUAUGCAGUUGUAG
rnacentral:rRNA from 1 species